rnacentral:rRNA from 1 species
CCCUUAGAUGUUCUGGGCUGCACGCGUGCUACAAUGAAGCGUCCAACAAGAUGCGAAGCCGAAAGGCUCAGCGGAUCUUUGAAGUCGUUUCGUGACCGGGACAGUUGAUUGCAAUUAUUCGACUCGAACGAGGAAUUCCUUGUAAUCGCGAUUCAUCAUAUCGCGCUGAAUACGUCCCUGCCCUUUGUACACACCGCCCGUCGCUCCUACCGAUUGAAUGGUCCGGUGAAAUCUCGGGACGGCGGCUUGGUCGCUUGCGUCCGACUGCUGAAACUUGAUUAAACCAUAUCAUUUAGAGGAAGGUGAAGUCGUAACA